rnacentral:rRNA from 1 species
UACGGGGGGGGCAAGCGUUGUUCGGAAUUACUGGGCGUAAAGGGCUCGUAGGCGGCCAACUAAGUCCGACGUGAAAUCCCCAGGCUUAACCUGGGAACUGCGUCGGAUACUGGAUGGCUUGAAUUCGGGAGAGGGAUGCAGAAUUCCAAGUGUAGCGGUGAAAUGCGUAGAUAUCUGGAGGAAUACCGGUGGCGAAGGCGGCAUCCUGGACCGACAUUGACGCUGAUGAGCGAAAGCUAGGGGAGCAAACGGG